AGAGAGAGACAUGCGCGCAUAUCAAUAAGCGGAGGAAAAGAAACUAACAAGGAUUCCCUUAGUAACGGCGAGUGAAGCGGGAAGAGCUCAAAUUUGAAAUCUUCAAGGUUUUACCUUGACGAAUUGUAGUUUAAAGAAGUGUUUUCUGCUGAAGUUUUGGUAAAAGUUCUUUGGAGUAGGACAUCAUAGAGGGUGAGAAUCCCGUAUUUGACCAUUAUUUUCAGCUUUGUGAUACACUUUCAAAGAGUCGGAUUGUUUGGGAAUGCAGUCCAAAAUGGGUGGUAAAUUUCAUCUAAAGCUAAAUAUUGGCGAGAGACCGAUAGCGAACAAGUACCGUGAGGGAAAGAUGAAGAGAACUUUGAAAAGAGAGUUAAACAGUACGUGAAAUUGUCAAAAGGGAAGCGUUUGACACCAGUGUUGUUUUCUCGAAAAUCAAUUAAAAAUGGCUCGAUUUUGUAUUGUUGAGACCUUAAAAGCUCACUGUACAUUUUUCGUGUCUUUUUUAAUGCACUUUUCGUUUAACAAGUCAACAUCAGUUUCUUUUGUUGUAGAAGGGUCAUUGGAAGGUGGCUUUUUUUUCGGAGAAAGUGUUUAUAGCCUUUGGCCUCUGCAAUCGGAAGAGACUGAGGUCUGCAGCGUAGACUCUUCGGGGUUAGAUACAUUUGUGCUAAGUUAUAGCUUUUUAUAGACAACUUGUUGACUAUAAUUAGUCUUGUAGCUUACUCGCUUAUGCUAUUUUACCUACGCUUAGGAUGUUGAGUCGUAGAGCACGCAG
rnacentral:rRNA from 1 species